AUGAACGCUAGCGGCAGGCCUAACCCCUGCAAGUUGAGGGGGAAGUUACUUUCGGGUGACUGAGACCGGCGUACGGGUGCGUAAAGCGUAUACAAUGUGCCUUUCACUGGGGGAUAGCCCGACGAAAUUUGGAUGAAUACCCUAUCGUAUAUAGGGUCGGCAUCGUUUUUAUAUUAAAGCUUAGUUGGUGAAAGAUGAGUAUGCGUUCUAUUAGUUAGUUGGAGAGGGAACGGCUGCCCAAGGCGAAGAUUGAUAGGGGUUCUGAGGGGGAGGUCCCCCACACUGGUACUGAGAUACGUACCACACUCCUACGGGACGCAGCCGUGAGGGAUACUGGACAAGGGUCGGAAGACUGAUCCAGCCAAGCCUCGUGCAGGAUGAAGGUCUUAUGGAUUGUAAACUUCUUUUGUAAGGGAAGAAUAAGGGCUACGCGUAGUUUGAUGACGGUACCUUACGAAUAAGCAUCGGCUAACUCCGUG
rnacentral:rRNA from 1 species